AUUAGAAAGGAAGUUAACACCAUAUCAUUAAAGUGAAAGGGGAUCAAAAGAUAUAACUCAAUCUAAUUAUCAUUUUGAUGGACAAAAGUCAUUUAUUCAUUUGGAACUCCCAGUCUCGAGUUGAAGUGUACAGAAAGCUGCAGCUACUCUAGAAUUUGAAGUCCUGCCAGCAUUUGGACUCAGAAUAUGUGAACGAUAUCGUAUGCGAAAGUCCAGAAAAGCACGAACGACAUAAGCCCACUCAGAAAGCCAUCGAGUAGAAUCUGGUUCCAGCUUUCAAAAUAUGAAUGAGAGGAAAAUCCAGCCUUGGUUGCAAGUGCAAGUGAAGUAAUUGCCAUGACUAGGAAAUAAAAUAUAAAUCCAGUCAGGCCAGUGAAUCCCAAAAUUCCAGCAAUUACUCCACCAAUUAUAGACAAAAACGUCCGGCUGUAAUAUAUUAUCUUCAAGUUGUUUUGCAAAUUUUCAGCAUUGAAGAUCGGUAAAUCGUCGGCCGCAUCAGACGAUUUCUUCUCAGAAACAGCGGAGGAGUAUCCCGCCAUAACUUCAGCCGCCGUAUGAUCUGAAGUUAAAUACCAGGAAACAGAAAAUGGGAGAGAGGGGUUCUGUAAAUGAGCCAUGGAUCCCCAACGCUGAAGCUCAAGAUGAUACUGCUAAUGAUACACAAAAGGAGAGUCAGGAGAUGAAGAAUAAGGAUUUGAGUUCCAUUUAUCAGGAUCAAAGAGCACAACCAUGUCAUCUUAGCUCAUCAAUCUAUUAUGGGGGCCCAGAUGUUUAUACUCAUCCUCAGAAUUCCCACAAUUCCGGGGUGAACUCUGCUUACAAGAAGGAAGGGGGAGAAGAUGAUUCUGGGAGUGCUUCAAGAGGAAAUUGGUGGCAAGGAUCUCUCUAUUAUUAGUACUAGAUCACUUGCCAAGGUUUAUAUAUAUACUUAUUAAGGUACAUAGGAUCAUAGAGCUGCAGCACUACUUCUACUUCACCUCUUAUUGUAUGAAGCUAGAUGGUAGCGAGAUCGUUGUGAGAAAAAGCUGGUUGAUCCAUUUUCCAGCCAAAACAACAGAAUCUCUUUUAAGUUAAAUAUUAAUAGUUUUAUAAGCAUCUUUCUCAAUUUUACUGUAAAGAAUGCUGCUACUGCUGCUGCUCUGCUGUUUGUUGUUUAAACCUUGAUGUUUUUAACAUAAAGGAAAUCUGGGUUGCUGUUUGCUUAUUAGUAUCAUAU
rnacentral:misc_RNA from 1 species